GAAUGACUCACUGUGAUGGAUGUUCAGCAGAGGAACCAAACGUGUUGGAAACCCUGACCACUCUAACGGUCCUGCCGCCCUCCAGAGAUGAGUUGAAGCAGGGUAAAGCUACAGUCAUGUGUGUCGGCAGUAAGGGAUUCCCCUCAGACUGGAAGUUGAGCUGGAAGGUGGAUGGUGGCAGCAGAAACUCUGGUGUGAAUGUGAGUCCUGGUGUGCUGCAGAAAGAUGGACUGUACAUGCAUAUUCAUUCAUUCUAUCAUUCACACUCAUAUUCAAGCACAAAAGACAUGCCUUUAUCAUAGGUUUGCUAUAUAUCUUCUUUUUUCUAGUUCUCUGUAUGCUUGUGAUUACUAACCACACAUGACCACAACUAAAUUUGUGUUUUAUGUGUUAAAAAUGAUUUACUGCCAAAUAAAACUUUUUGAAUCAUUAACAUUGUUUUUAUGUAUAAAUAAGCAGUAGCAUAUUAUUUUAAACAUAUAAUAGGGUGUUUCUUCAGCUUUGGGCAGUUUCAUAUAAUGUCACAGGGGUUGGUUUUUAUUAAAACUUCCAGGUUUAACAUUUUUUCCUUUUCUCAUAUAAAGCUCACAUUAAAACUGAC